rnacentral:rRNA from 1 species
UACGUAGGGGGCGAGCGUUGUCCGGAUUUAUUGGGCGUAAAGAGCUCGUAGGCGGUUUGGUAAGUCGGGUGUGAAAUCUCCACGCUCAACGUGGAGGGGCCACUCGAUACUGCCAUGACUCGAGUCCGGUAGAGGUGUGUGGAAUUCCCGGUGUAGCGGUGAAAUGCGCAGAUAUCAAGCGGAACACCGGUGGCGAAGGCGGCCUUCUGGACAGUGACUGACGCUGAGACGCGAAAGCGUGGGGAGCAAACAGG